AUUUGACAAAGUGGCAAAUAUAUAUGGUUAGUGCUUGCAAGCAGCGGCGCAUGAAAUUUCCCAAGAUUCAGAUUAAGCAUUGACAGUGCACGAGGAACAAAACUGCGAAUGCUUUGGCAAAAACUUGUAAGAGUUCAAAUUUGAUUUGUGUUGUAAUUACGAUUUUCCCAUCCCCCCAAUUAUUGUAGAGACCUUUUAAGGUCGGAUCGUAUGAACUUAUAUUUGUACGGACCUUAAUAUUUAUAUGUAACAAACUUCUAUAUUUCACAAAAAAAAUAACGUGAAAUUAGAAAUUCUGUACGUAGUAGUACUCUGAGCAUUCUAGUUGAUUGUUCAGUUUAAGCCACGCAAUAUGCACACUAACAAAUAACACAGAGUUCUUUGCUUUGCUUUCAAGUUUUUGGUUUCUCAAAGCAGUUCUAUUACUACAAAUACUAGCCGCUAGUCGCCACAUGAUGGAUAAAUUUUUGUCAAGACGAUAACAGUACUGAUGAACAGUCGCUCACUUUUGCGGGAUCAACGACAAUGGCUGCAGAGAGGAGAGUACGGUAUAAGUCCCCGGUAUGCUUCCCGUAGAAUCCAUCUCUUUUCAGAUGACAAGUCAUUUUUCUACAUUUAUAUCCUGUAAAUUUCAUACUGCAUUCACUAUAAACUCGAAUACAGUCUUCAUCUAAGCUUCAAGCACACCCGUGUAGAGUGUAGGCUUUUGAUUCUUGUAUAAAAAGGAGAUAACGCGCAAGAUAUAUGAGGUUCCAAUAGGCUACUAUUGGAUUUUACAGGUAUUUACAGAUUACAAUCACACAAGACAACUAAAUUAUGGGACAAACCUGUACAUUAAAAAUGCUAAACCUAAUCAAUGACACUUCCUGUUAGUACAGUAAUGCCACAUCAUCCACAGAUGUGA